rnacentral:rRNA from 1 species
UUGAUGGCGGGUUUGAUCCUGGCCCAGGGUUAACGCUGGCGGCGUGCCUAACACAUGCAAGUCGUGCGGACCAGCUUGUCUGGUCAGCGGCGAACGGCUGAGUAACACGUGGGUGACCUACCGUCGAGCGGGGGAUAACCGGCCGAAAGGUUGGCUAAUACCGCAUGCGCUCACUCGGGCUGCCGGGUGAGGAAAGCCGCAAGGCGCUCGGCGAUGGGCCCGCGGCCUAUCAGGUAGUUGGUGGGGUAACGGCCCACCAAGGCGACGAUCGGUAGCUGGUCUGAGAGGAUGGCCAGCCAGACGGGGACUGAGACACGGCCCCGACUCCUACGGGAGGCAGCAGUUAGGAAUCUUGGGCAAUGGGCGAAAGCCUGACCCAGCGACGCCGCGUGGGGGACGAAGGCCUUCGGGUU